GUCCCUGUAGCUUACAGACAAAGCAUGGCACUGAAGACGCCAAGACGGUCGCCCACAUACCCAAGGACA
rnacentral:tRNA from 1 species